UGGGGAAUAUUGGGGCAAUGGGGCGAAAGCCUGACCCAGCAACGCCGCGUGAAGGAAGAAGGUUUUCGGAUUGUAAACUUCUUUUAUCAGGGACGAAGAAAGUGACGGUACCUGAUGAAUAAGCCACGGCUAACUACGUGCCAGCAGCCGCGGUAAUACGUAGGUGGCAAGCGUUAUCCGGAUUUACUGGGUGUAAAGGGCGCGUAGGCGGGGAUGCAAGUCAGAUGUGAAAUCUAUGGGCUUAACCCAUAAACUGCAUUUGAAACUGUAUUUCUUGAGUACUGGAGAGGCAAUCGGAAUUCCUAGUGUAGCGGUGAAAUGCGUAGAUAUUAGGAGGAACACCAGUGGCGAAGGCGGAUUGCUGGACAGCAACUGACGGUGAGGCGCGAAAGUGU
rnacentral:rRNA from 1 species